UACGUAUGGGGCAAGCGUUAUCCGGAAUUAUUGGGCGUAAAGAGUGCGUAGGUGGUUACCUAAGCGCAAGGUUUAAUCUUGAGGCUCAACCUCAUUCUGCCUUGCGAACUGGGCUACUUGAGUGCACGAGGGGAAAGCGGAAUUCCUAGUGUAGCGGUGAAAUGCGUAGAUAUUAGGAAGAACACCGGUGGCGAAGGCGGCUUUCUGGACUGUAACUGACACUGAGGCACGAAAGCGUGGGGAGCAAACAGGAUUAGAUACCCUGGUAGUCCCU
rnacentral:rRNA from 1 species